rnacentral:lncRNA from 1 species
UAGAACCAAGGUAUAUUAUGAUUAAUGGGAACCUUGGCAAGGGAAUUUAGCUAAGGUGUGGUGUGGUGGCCGCUAGUAACUUGGGUUGGGUAUUGGGUUUUCUAGGGGAUGCCAAUAGACUAGUGCCUGUCGGAUCUGGCGAGUGGACGAGAAACGUCCCUGCCAGGGGGCAGUGUGGGCUGUUGUUCCUGGUGGGGAGAGACGGGGCAGUGUGGGCGGCUGGGGUGCACACCGCCCGAAAGGGCCAAAGUAAAGGUGGUUAGAUAAACAAAGUAAACUAGCAAACUAAUCAAGGAAAUAGCAUUUAAGAAUUCUAAUGCACUUUAGAGUUUAACCAUAGUAAAUAAGAGUAUCAAUUCUAUGUCAAUUAUCAUAUCCACAAACAUAAGAAUAAGCUUAUACACAAAUUUGAAGAGCUCAAUCUUAAUCUUAAGAUUUAAUUUGGAGCAAUUAAGUUCUAAUUGUAGUCAUUUAGAUUGAUGAAAAAGAUACUAACUCUUGAGUUUAUAAACAAUUUCAAUAUGUCGAUGUUAAUGCAACAACACCAAUUCAACUCAUCAUUGAAAUUCCCACAACCAUACUAUACAACCAAUCCCAAAAAAAGUUUGAGAAAUCAUCAAAGCUUCACAAUAACAAACUCAAAUAAUAUAAGACCAUAAAGAACAAUAAUGCAAUAAAAUCUAAAAAAUAAGAUAUAAAAAUUGAAGAAAUCAAAACCAUGAUAUUUAUCAUUUUUAAAUGUAAGAUAUAAAAAGACUUAUGAGGACACUCAAAAAUCUGCCUAUCAAGAUUCAAGAAAGAAUCUUCAACUUAGUUCAUAAUUAAAAAAAUCAAGAAAACCAUAAACCAAUAUACUAUGGAUCAAUAUUCACACUAAGAAAUUUAUAGGAAAAUAAGAUAAAAUAAAGCUUUACAUUGGAGACUCAUUAUUGAGUUUUUCUAGAUCUCCCACAUCUACUUAAAUCAAAAGCACAUUUGCCAAAAAAUAAAAAUAAUAUAUACAAAAUAAAGUCAAUUCAAUCGACAAGAGACUAUUAAUCUUUAUACUUUAAAAAAUCAAGAAAAUCAUUAGACUUGAAUUCUUUUAAGGAUACAUCACACCUAUUGGUGUGGCCAUAUACAAGUUAACUAAUAAAGAAAUACAAAAUGAAACUUGGGCAAAAUAACAAUAGAGACACUCACAAAUACUUAAACUCUUAACGAAAUUAAUUUGCAAAAACUACAAGAAUAAAAAUUUUGAAAACCUAUUUCAACAACAAUAUCGAGGACAAAAACACUUCAAAUACAACCACUAUUCAUCUCAGAUGUUUUAAAUAUCACUAUUGACUGAAAAACACAAAUGUUUAUAAUGUGGAUGCGAAAUAUUGACACAACACAAUUAAAAGUAUGCCUUGAAUACAUUUAUAACAAGGACUUGCAAAAAGAGUAACUGUAAUAUGCAUUCUUGUUUGAUUCUAAAGUUGGUAAACAACAACCUUAUUGAAAACUGAUCAAAUUUAUGAAGUUGAGUAUGAUAUAGCAACAAAAACACCAAUAUACAAGAUUGUGUUAUUCUAUAUUACACAAUUUUAUAACUAUAUAACAUUUACUCUAGAAGAAUAAAUAUACCAAGGACUAAAAGACAAAGUCAAGAAAACAAAUUCAAGACAUUGAAUUCAAGAAAGAAAAUACAAGAUUUUAAUAGAAUAUUGAAUAUAUACAUAUAAACUAACCCAAUCAAGAUACAAGAAUGAAAUUAACGACAACAAAAAUGAGAAGAUAAUAGAGGACUUCAUAAAACAAAAAAAUACUCAAACUCAAGAAGAAAUCUUUGAGAAUAUCAUUAACAACUACAACAAAAUGAAUCAAAUAAUAUAAGUAAGAGGAGAAAGUGGGCCACUGAACAAAGAAAUGGUGCCAAACUCCUAAACAUAGAGCUAAGGAGUGAUGGAACCGGACCACGAAGCAACUCUCGAGCAUAUAGCCCAAGGCGCUAAGGGACAGGAGCCCAAAGCGACUUGGAACAGUCUUAAAGCAACUUGCAUCCCAUUACCAUGACCAAUAUGCAAAAUGGAGCCAAACGGAGUUUAGCACUAUUUCGACAUACCAAUGGCCUAACACAAGGACAUGGGUACUCCAUUAGCUAAUAUGGAGCUAGUAUGGAAUGGAACUUGGGAUUAGACCCGAGUUGGACAUAGAAUAAGGACAAGCACGCAAGCGAGAGUUAAAUUAUACCUCAAGUUGGUCAAACAUGCCUAACCUACACACUAUCCAUACUAUACAUUUAUAGCCCCCUAUAAUGCGCCCCCCCCCUUCCCCUUCCCCUUCCCCUUCCCCUUCCCCUUCCUUGAGGAACAUAGUAUUAGGAGUUAGUCUUUGGGACAAACUCGAAAGUUAUUAAAUAUUGAAUGUCCUAAGAUUGUAAAUUUGGACAUGGGACAAACACCAUUGUGUUUAGGAUUUUACAUUCCGUAGAUGUGCCAAAUAAGCAAAUCUAGACACUUUUCAUAAAUAGUAUUUGGGACCGAAAUGAAACUAACACAAAAGGCAUGAUAGCGAAAGUGUUUGGUAAACACAAUAAGUUAUCAUCUAGCAAUAUUGAGGGACCAAGUUUAAUAUCACGGGGGGUUUUGAUAUUAGCAAAUGCAAGCCAAUGACACAAGUUUCUCAAACUAGGUGUAAGCAACUAAAGAGAACAACUUGAAAGACAAUCCAUGAGGUUCAAAUAUAUAGGGAAAGGGCCCAUGAACAAAAGUGCACCCCUUUUUUUAAUCGGUUAAAAGUCUUGGGAUAUUUAAGGUUAAAUGUCCUUGGGUUUGAAUAGUACUGGGUUGGGUGACCUCUUGGGAAGUCCAAACUCAUGAACUUACACCAAACCGAGUAUGCUCAACAAGAAACAUAUAGAGUUCCUACUUUAUGUGUAUCCAAUUUAAGUACAUGAUCAUUGACUAGUUUCUCAACUAGCUCAAGUGGGAAACUGAUAACAGGUCCAGCAAUACCAACUUUCUGCCAUUGUGGUAGUAAGGAAAGAAUAUCCGAAAGAACUAGCCGACAGAAUUAACCGACAGAUAACUUUCGAUAUCCGAAGUCACAUUCAUAAUAACCACCCACACUUGAUUGGGAGCAUGGGGGAGCUAGAGCUGGCUCUUGGACACUUAACCAAGCUACCCCGUUUGUCAGUCCGUAUUCACUCUAGCCUUGGACUUCCCAGUGGUUAUCUCAUCACCUAACAGUUGGGUAUAGCCUUCCUAAGCUAAACUCCAAACUAGCUCCACUAGGGUACCCCACACUCUCCCUACUAUACUUUUGGAACCCCCUGCAACCCCUUGCAAGAGUUAAUCUCUGGUACAAUUAUGAAAACUUAUAUAUUAAAUGGUGUUAGAUUGUGAAUCUAGAAGCAAAAACACUAUUUUGUUCAAAACAAUUUCUACAUUCCAUCAAUAUGCCCAACUAGCAGAUCUAGACACUUUCUAUAAAUAGCCAAUAGGACCAACACAAGCAAAAAUGUUUGUCACAAAUGUGAUUUCAAGUAUCGAAAAAUACUUGUCGACAAGUCCUUACGAACACUCUCUCCUUAUUGUUAUGAUGGUAAGAGGUCAAUACAGUUAAUUCCCUUUAUGGUUCCCACUUUAUUCGUUAAUGCAUGUGAAGGAACUUCUAUAUAUUUCUUGCUGAGCAUACUUGGUUUGGUUUGAGAAACUUGUGUCAUUAGCUUGUAUUUGCUAAUAUCAAGAACCUUACAAUAUUGAGUUUCCCUCAAUAUGAUUACAUGAUAGUUUAUUGUAUUUAUUAGACACCUUCAUUAUCAUACCCCAUGUGUUGGUCCCAUUUUAGUUUUAUAUGCUAUUUAUAGUGUUGUUCCUAAUGUCAUUUUAUAUUUUGUAAGUUUCAUGCUUGUCCUAAAAACUAACUCUUAAUACUAAGGGUAAAAGCCCAAAAUAUGCAUUCCUCAAGGAAAAAGGAGGGGGGCAAGGAUAUGAGAAGGGUCAAAUGUAUAGUAGAGAUAGUGGUUGGAAUGAAUAACUAACCACUUGAGACAUUAGUUUAGCUCCCACUAAAUUGUGUUGCUCUUUAUUCUACUUUUAGCUUAAGUUUAAGCUCAAAUUCUAUAUUGUUUUAGUUGGUGGGCCACUAAUAUGUCAAAAUUGUGCCAGACACCAUUUUGCAUGCAAGUGUUGAAUACACUAUUAGCCUAGUUGAUCUUGGGAUUCAUGAAGGGAGGUAACACCUAUCUAAUUCUGGACAGGCCCAUUCGAAAUCAGGAAAACACAUGUCAACAACACCAUCCUUGACAUUGAUCAUCACAUUAGCAUCCCACAUAUCCCCAUGAACACGAAAAGCCACAUGGCCAAUGCAGUUGCCAACUUUCACCUGUGUGCACCUGCCAAUGCCCAGAGCACACACAGCCUCAUCCUGUCUACCUCAGGAUGUCCAUGCAGUGGCUUCCAUCCGUCCUGCACACUUAGGUACUCCAUCGUUCACCUCAAGUGUCGUGAGUAGCUGCCAAGCUUUGGCCCACACUUUAUGCACAUAACAGCCAUAUCGCUGAGCAUACUUGGUGACAUACUUCUCGCCAUCCUGAUCAACAACAUAAACCCUUUUGUUAUGAAUCUUGGUCACUUCAGAUUCCACGUUGAGUUAAUGAUGCAGAGGAUAAGGGACUUCGGGCUUCCACAGCUGGUUCCAGCUCCUGCACAUGCCAAUCUCUGUACAAGUCCCACAGCCUGAGCAAGCACCUCUUUACAGCGAUGCAGAUCGUAACACCCUUCUCUGCCAUCGGGCAAUGGUGGUCUUGGAUUGGCACAAAAACGGUCACCGUUAGCGGUUGAUAGCAGCAGUGGCCAUUCCGCCAACCCGAAAAACCAGCCCAACCUGAUCAAUGACAAAUGCCAGAUAGCAAGAGCUUUUACCUUUGGUCGAGCCUUGCAGUGAUAAAGCUUGAGGUUGUCCAUGGCUUCAAUACUUCUCGUAGAAAAGCCUAGCUUUACUUCGACGAGCCCUAGAAGAACAUCCGAGAUGCUGUCACGGAUGCCUAGAUCCGUACUUUUCGGAGUAUUCCGGGAGAAGUUCCCCGUGGACAUCUCCUCCUGGACAUAAAUACCAAUGUAUCGGUGCCACAAAUCGCGCAAGAUGGAAAUCAUCUUUGACUCGCUCGAGUAGAAAGAGGACGAGGCCUUGGCAAGCCGGCAGUAGAAGUCAUAGUCCUCUUCCUUGCAUUGGAUCGGAAAUCGGCCAUCCACUAUGUCGAGGAACAAGCCGAAGACCGGAUUCAUGAGCUGCAGUGGCAGAGGUGCCGCUGGUAAAGCAGGGUGGAAGUAGUAAACAUCUGGUAUCUUGGCCAUCUGGGCCCUUCGGACAAACUCCAGGUUGGUGCUCGAAGGGCGAUGCAACUUGCCAAUGUGGCAUCGCAUUCAUCUUCAUCUACAUAGAGACCAGGAAUGAUUAACGCUACAACAAAGCAGAAGCCAUACCUGCUGCCCUGCGGGAAGGAGAUCAUCAUCUUCCAGAACGAACCGCCUGUUGCGUUCACAAGAUUGAACUUGGACUCCGGCUUUCCAUAGCAUUCUUGGGGCUCUUUCAGGAUCUCAGCCGCUGAGGACCCAGCGCCGUUGAUAAAAAUCACCUCCUCAAUCUGUAUCGAAAUAACGGCAUAUGCUGAGGACGCAUAUUCUGGGCAUAUGCCAAGAUUUAAUGGUUGAGAUAUAACUAACCACAUUGCAUUUGUAUUAGCUUACAGACAUAUUUUAUUAACACUUUGGAGCUUGGCCAUUUUCUAAAAGUUUGAAAAAACAAGAACUUUAAGCCUUAGAAUUUACCUCAAGCAUGAAUUCAACUAUGGCCUACAUAGGAGGCUGUUAGUGGCCUAAAGCCAUGCAAGUAUUGACCAUUGAUGCUCAAUCUUUUGCACCUUAUCAGGUUGCAUCGUGAUUCACGUUGCCUAGUGUUGCAGUGGGAGGAAUGGCACUCACCCACGUGCACAGAAAACGCCAGGUUCACAGCUCUUCGAUUUUCUUGCUGGAUUGCUUUUAGAGUGCCAUGAUUCUUAGCUCUCCAAUCUCUUUCUUGCCCCCAGGACACUCUCACGGGAUUCUCUGCUGGCGUGUAGUGGCAUCAUGGGUUGUUCAGAUCAAUGUAAGCGCAAGGAGCUUCUCAAGGAAAAUCCAAUCUACAUUUUCAUCCACAACAGCAAGUCUAUCUGUCUUGUCAUCGUCAACUACAUUAACAGGGUUCUCACAUCCAUGCGGGCAGACUUGGUUGACAGUGUCCCUUCUUCCAGGUUGAUCAAAACCGGCUUACAGAUGAUAACCGGCUUCCUGGACAACGGCACGGUGAUGAAGGACUACACCAUGGUGCUACAGAUGGUCCUCUGGCUGCAUCGGAUAUGUGAUCAGAAAAACAGAAGAAAAACUUUGAACUUCACAGAAGCAGGACGGAAAGUAACCAGUGCAGAGCUGCUGAUAAAAUGCUGGCUACGCUGGGCGAUGAUUUCGACUGUCCGAUCUGCCUCGCUCAUCCUUCUGGAGCCGUUAUCACAUCCUGUGCUCACGUUUUCUGCCGGAGGUGCCUCAAGAAAGCACUGUAAGAUGAGGACAAAGCUGAGCGAGGACGAUAUCUUCGCUAGGGAAACCAAAGGAGGAAGCAGAUGAAGAGCCGUUCAACAAAAACGAUGUAGAGGACGAGGAUGACAAUCCUCGUGAAGGAGUGAAGCCAAGUGCCAAGAUCAACGUGCUGAAAACGAAAAAAGUCAUCAAGGAGCCACUCCAAAGGGCCAGUUUCAAGUUCGUCAAGCUCAAGGUCGGCAUGAGCGGAAGAGGAGUGGCUGUUCUUCUCAGCCUCAAGGUCGCUGGAGUGUGACGGCGUCCAACGUUUUCAUGAUUGAUCCAUCAACGUUAGGACGUGCAUUGGCUGGAUCCGACGGCCCAAAAAGUUCGGCAACUUGCGCUGGCAUACGCCAUGCGCAACUGCGCAUCGCCCUCAAAGAUCUUCUUGACGCUGCAAAACUCCCCGCUAUGGAGGAGAGAUGCCAGGAUGCUCGUCCGAGCGCGCAAGGCAUCGUCAUCUUUGAAUGCAAUCACCUCCCUUCCUCCAGAGCCCUGGCGCUGCUGCGCUGUCGGAUGAGCUCGCCAUAACUCCUGGAAUCCAAGCUCCGAUCAUCCUCACGCUCCAAAUGCUCCACUAUCUCUCGCAGAUUCUUCCCAGUCCACAAAGUGCCCGCUGUUGAUGGUGGCGACCCUGGUAUACAGCGCCAUCCACCUCCUGUUUCGUGUCAUCGUAGCCCCAGAUCGAUCGAUUCACGAGGAGCUCGCGGGCAAGGAGACAGGUAGCGUUUGGAUGGCCGCCGCCAAAGCCCUAAACCCUCUUCCUCGAGGCGAGGGAGGAGUGGGCAUGGGCGCCAGCAUCAGGAGUGGCGCGAGCUUGGCGGCUACGGGCUACAUUCCGCGGAGCUUGCGAUCGCAGCAGUGCUCCAGCGCUAGAUUCCGGAUGCAGCUCCUCGCUCCCACCAGGAAUUUAGGUCUUUCCAGCAACCUCCAGCAGCAGCACCAUCCGCUGGAAUUCGCGUCUAGCGGCAAGAAGCAAGGAUCCUUGUUCUUGGUUCCAAGCACGGGCGAUAACUGGAAAGCUCGCAGUGAUCUUCUUCCUUGCCGAGCCAUUGCCGAGGAAGAACAGAGUAAGUGUUCUAGUUUUCUUCUUGAAUUCCACGAGGAGCGAGCGAGCGGUUUCUUUUCUUUGCAGUGGCCGAUGCCAAAGAAGCUGACACAGCUGCCAGGAUCGAUGGCAAGGCAAUCUCGCAAGCGAUCCGGGACGAGGUUGCGCAAGAGGUGGCCAGGAUGAAGAGCGCGCUGGGAAAAGUUCCCGGCCUCGCUGUUAUUCUGGUUGGCAGCCGCAAGGAUUCGCUGCUCUACGUGACGAGCAAGGAGAAGGCCUGCGAGCAGGCUGGAAUUCGAUCCUACAGCGUCAACUUGCCCGACACCGCCACUGAGGCCGAGAUCUUGGAGCACGUUCACAAGUUCAAUCGUGAUCCCGAUGUUCACGGCAUCCUCGUCCAGCUUCCACUCCCAAAGGUAAGCAAACUCUCUCUCCCUCUCUUUCGAUCUAGCUUUGUUCCAUAUCUUUGUUCUUGUUCUUUGUUCCAUAGCUACUGGGGCUUGGAUUGAUCGAGUUAUACCAUCUUUGCAGCACGUCCGAGAGCAAGAAAUCCUGGGAGCCGUGAGCAUGGACAAGGACGUCGAUGGAUUCCACCCCACGAACAUUGGAAGGCUGGCCAUGCAAGGAAGGCAGCCUCUUUUCAUCCCGUGCACGCCUCGGGGAUGUAUAGAGCUGCUACUGCGAACCGGCGUCCAAAUCAGUGGCAAGCAUGCUGUUGUCAUCGGUCGCAGCAACAUCGUAGGAACGCCAGCAGCGAUGCUCCUUCAGGUUCCACUCUUUUUCUCCAGUUUUACUCGUUCGUGAUCGAUUCUUCUUUUUUUUUUUCGGCAGCGUCACAAUGCAACCGUAACGGUGGUUCACUCUUACACUCCAGAUCCGGCCGCGGUGACGAGAACUGCGGAUAUCGUCAUUGCCGCGGCUGGAGUGGCUCAUCUGGUGCGGAAAGACUGGCUCAAACCAGGAGCUGUGGUGAUUGACGUUGGUAUCAACCCAAUCGAGGUAUGUUCAUCCCCGUUUUGGCUUUGAAGUUGAGCUGCCAAUGCAGGAUCCUUCCGCAAAGAAAGGCCAUCGCACCGUAGGUGACGUCCACUUCAAAGAAGCGUGUAGUGUGGCGUCGGCCAUCACUCCAGUCCCUGGAGGUGUUGGACCCAUGACCAUCGCCAUGCUCCUCCAAAACACUGUAGAAUCGGCCAAGCGGGCCUAUGAAUUCAAUGGAACUUAAGCGGCUAGCAAAGUAAGUCUCGAGUCUCGCCAAAAAUGAAAGUUUUGGAUACAAAGAAACGUUUUACAUUUAUGCUAUGCAAGGAAUCGGCCAUCCCGAAACAUCACUUUGAGGAUUCUCUUGAGAUUAGGAAGUACAUGCCUGGGACCAGCGCUGGCUGUCUCAAAGCGAUCCAAAAUUUGCUCCAGAUCCUAUGAUCAAAACAAAGAGAAGACGAAGAACACUGUCAAUGCCAACUUAGUUUGGAUGGAAAGAAACGAGACCUUGUUUAGAAGAAAGACUGCAUAAGCCGCCCUCGUAGGCUCUUGGCCAUCUGAAAAAAGAGGGAACUCAACUAGCUGAUUCUCUACAGCCGGCAAGACAAUGGCACCACCGCUGGUUGACGGCUCGGUCGGAGGUGAAGGAUCUUGGAUGUAAGAUCGAGAGGCUCGGUAUCUCACGGGGUAGCGAAGCCGGAUGUCCAGGAAGCGAGACAACAGGGAGAGCAUCUGCGAGCAAAGCUCAAACUAGUUUAGAAACUCCCACGAACUUUGUGAUCUAGAAGCUUUCACGACCUAGCUCGUUGCAAAUCUCUGAAAAAGGAAGAAAAGAAUACUGCUUACAUGAGCGACGUGUCCGAGUGCUGUGGCCGAUGUUUCGUACUCUCGCUUGUCGGUGAAGAGCGCGGCUUCCUUUUUGACAGGAGCAAUGACGUGCAGACCCGAGAUUGUAAGUGGAACGCUGUCACCUUCGCCUGUGCACAAGUCAUGAAAUCUACGGAGAUCGAGCAAGACUUUUGCGAGUACCUGCAUGAGCAAGAGGCGGACACUUCUUCUCGUUUGUGCAUGGAAUGAGUGGAUACAAAGCAGCAACUUGCGCAGCCAUGGCACGCCUUCGAACAGUGAGAAGCCCCUUGAGACGAGCAAGUCUGCCAUAGCCACCAUCACCAGACAAAAGCUUCUGGGCCUCCUGGAAAAAGAGAGAAAACUUGUGGACGAACACACGAGCAAGCAAGAUAAAUACCUGCAAUCGAAACUGCGCUGCAUUCAAGGAUCUAGCUGCGUGAAGCAAAGAAUUCCCCGACAACGCCAACUUGUCCCUGGCAUCCUUGAGCUGCUGGUUUUUUUCUUCCAGAGAGGACGUCGAAUCCUCCACCGCUUUUCGCCGGAGUUCCACCUUCUUGUGUAGAGAUUCCAACGCGUCGAUCCGUUUGAGCUCGACCAAGUUCACAGUCUGUGAGAGUAGAGUACGUCACUACUUGAGAAAAAGAAAAAUCUAAGAACUUACUUCCACAAGAGUCUCGAGCUUGCGAGCGGCGGAUUCCUUGGAUGCGCGGGCUUUGGAGAGGAGAGUGGCGAGGCCGCAGAGACGAGCGAGGGAGUUUUCGUAUUCUUCCCAUUGGAAGAGCUGGGGAGGAGGAGAGGGCUUCUUCUUCUUCUCACCGUCCUCGCUGGCGUCGGCGAGUCCGAGCUCCGAGCAGCACUGCGUCAGCACGGUGGCCACCGAAUCCUCCACCUUGUCCAUGCGAUCCACUCCCGCCUCAUCUUUCCAGCAUCUGGAAUCUGGAUCAUAAACCCUAGGCUAGGUAGUUACCUAAUUCUUUCGUUUUCUACUGCAAGGUAAGCCAUCGAGUCUAGAACCGAGAGAAAUGAUAUAUUCUGGGCGAUUGAUUCAGUCGAAAAAGCACUGGUGCUCGUCUAUCUAAUUGUUGGGAGAAUCCAAGUCUAAUAGCCACCGGUCACGUCACCAAUCGCACUAGUGUAGUGACUCAAAGCUAUGCACCAAGGAAGAACUUUGGUUCAGAACUGGAGAGUUUUUUGUGGCAAAAAUCCAAGUCCAAAAACAUCGAGCUUGUUCUUGAUGAUCCAGUGAUCUAAACAUGUCAAGGGUGCCAGCAGGAUGAUAAAAAUCAAUACACAGGCAGCACAAGUAACAUCACAGGUAUCAGGUGACCACGUCUAAAGGCAACUUCCACAAGAGUCGGAGACCUUGCAAACACAAUUGGACAAGGGUGAUGGCAAAAACUUCCCUUCUGGACAACAUGUCUUGGUAUUGACUCUGCUCAAUGAAAACCCAUGUCCCAACACAUUUCAAUGGUGGCUCCAUGGAUCACGAUCAAAAGUUCCACUACUACCUUUCCACAGUCAACACUGAUUGGACAAUUGGGUUGACCGAUGUGAUGGAAACAUUGCAGAAUUUUAGCAAUACAGAACAGGCCAGCACCAUUUUCACUCUGAGGUCGGCAAUUGGGACACAUGUAAAAUGCCGUGGGAGGGACGCAUCUGCUACUUAAGCGUGAUUGAAAUUGUUUAACACUUCAUCCAAGAUUGCAACUUCUGCUUCAAUGGCAAAUAAUAACAUGCCUCCUCAAUGAACUGCUGGCUGUAUUGGAGAAACACUUGAAGUGUGGUUUAAUCCACAUGGCAGAUGAUGUGGAUAGUAAUAUCUUAGAUGGCAAAAUUUAAGAAAUCUUUGGGAUUCUGGAAGAGAAUCAAGAGCCGGGCAGUUUGUACAACAAUGGCAUUGCAAAGAUUUAAACAUUGCAGUUUGUUAGUUCAUCCUGAAUCAAUCAUCUCAACAUCUAUUUGGUGAACUACAUUGACUUCUAUUAACUCGAGCUCAACUUGUGAAUUGAGCUCAAAACCAACAACCCCAACAAAUAGCCUUUAUCAUCUUCUCAAAAGCUAGUGUGAAGUGUGCAUUGGAUGAAGCCUUUCUUUCUCGAGAAUGUGAGCUUGUUCAAACUGUUCAGCCAGUAUGCUAUUGCCUUCUGUGAGAACAAUCACAAGAGAUAGAGAGCUUUUCUUCCUCCAUUAGUUUGUCAUAGUCUUCUCUUGGUGCUGCGGCAUUUGCAUGCUCUCCUGUGCUUGAUUUUUGGCAUUAUCUCAUCCGUGUCAAUGAGAUUUCUUGAACGAAUGGCCCUAUGGCUUGAUUGGAACUUGUUGAUGGUAUCAAAUAGAUCCUAGUCUAAAGCUGGUAGUUUGAACUUCUUAACAGUACCCAAAUAGACGGUUUUUUGAAGGAAGAAAAUGAGAGAUGAGAGUUCUAAGCCCGAGUGUCCACAAGGCUGUCACGAUUUGGGGAUCACUCUUCUUGUUGAACACUGUUAUCCAAUGUCCACACACAAAAUGAAAUCCUCGUUAGAAAGGUUAUGUCAGUGCUACUCACUCUCGUCUCUGCGCUCUCUUUUGUGUUGCAGGCGAUUAGCACCUGGCGAGAGAGAGUCCAGGUCGCGACCAAGUUUGGCAUCACGAGCCAGGUGUUCAUGAAUCAUCUGGGGCACCCUAUAUAAUUCCUUAGGGCCAGGGAUAAUGCGAGACUAGAGUGGAAGGCAUGGGUCCGCCGCGCCAUGGAUCUGGAAAAGAGUCAGGCCUGCAGCUCCGGAGAGGCGAUGAGCAGCGCCUUGUUCCUCAGGAGAAAGCCGCCGCAUCUUCAGGGCUGAGAAAGCGGAAAGCGGCUGAAGAAUCAGCGGCCGCAAGAGAAAAGAAAAGGUUGCAAUCUAUAGUAAUCCAAAUGGUCCACGAGAAAUCUCCUGGCAGGAUUAUGGACUUGGCCAUGAAGAUGCUCGAAGGUACGGUUUGUUUUUCAUUCCCAACUUCAAGCUAGUUCUCACGAUACAAACAAAAAAUAACAGGUCCAAAACCAAUGCCACAUUCAGAGACUUCUGAAGAGACUGAAGAUGAUCCGGGAAUCGUUGAGAGAGCGUUUCAAGGGGAGUAUCGGACUGUGGGGGGAGUAGACAACGUUGAUCUCUUGCGUCAGAAGAUUGAAGAAACAGGAACAUCCUGGGUUGCAAAGAAUCGGAUAGCACCUGUCGUUACUCUAGUGCAGUCGAGUGGCUGGGGAAAGUCGAGGACUAUCUGCGAGCUUGCAAGUCGAGGUGUGUUCGUGGUUUACUGCUCCUUUGCAUCUGCCACCACUACUUACCCGCCAAGGUCUGCCAUUGCGGACUUCUUCUACACAAGCGCCGUCAGGCUGCUCAGCUCGGGUUCUCGGCUUGUGUCAGAGAGCAGGUUUAUGCUCUUCUGCAUGCACUACUUCUCGUCGUGCAUCGAUGUCGCCGUGGACAAGCAGUUGGCGGCAGAGGACUUCCUGCAGGAACUAAUGCUUGGAGAGGAAUUCUGGCGUCUAGUGCAGGCCAAGAUUGAGAGUCGACAAAAACAGUGGGAACGCCGCUAUCCUGCACUUGAAAAGGUACUGCUGGAGGAGCCUAGUAGAGCGAGCAAUGUCUGGGGCGCAUGGGAAGAUCGGGUACAUCGGCGAAUGCGGAAUACCGACAAACUGAAGCAGUUACCGGAUCCUCCCAAAGGAAAACUCAAGGUUUUGUUUGUCAUGGAUGAAGCUGGAUGGUUUGGCAGGUGUGAUGAUCAUCGAGCUUUUGCUGCAUUUGAUCCUGCAAGAAGGGCUGCCAGGCUGUUUCCAGGGACUGGAGAGGUCGUUGCCUUAUAUACAGACACCAACGAUUUUGCUGGGAGCAAUGUUGCACCUCCGUGUAGGCCGCACAGCAGCGACCGAGUAGCUGCACAUGGAACGGCAGUAUCACAUCCAGCGUACUGCUUUUUCGCGGCACACUCACCGUCAGACACAGGAACAGGUAGCCUUCCGCUUGGCAAAGUGGAAAAUCUUGGUCGUCUGGUCGCUUAUGGUCGGCCGCUCUGGCAAGCACUGUUAAAGGCUAAAGGAGAUCCUCAGGAGGUAUUAACUCUGGCUGUCGACAAGCUCCUUGGCGGCGCUAAUUCGCUCAGCAAGUUUGUGGAGCAAGGUUUUAUGUUGGAAGAGGCUCCUUUGGCCAUACUUGGCUGCAGGGUGUGCCUCGACAUCAACCCUCAGGCCAGAGUUGUCUCUGGCUUGGUUGCGAGGCACCUGCUUAGCGUGGUGUCUAUCUCUGACGACCGGGAGCAUGUUUGGACGGAUUGGGCCGUCGAGCCAGUGGUUGCAGCGGCUGCAGCAAUGGCUUUGCGUGCGGGGCGAAAGCGGACAGGGUGGCAAUACUGUCUCGAAAAACUUGAGGACGGGCUGAUGCGUGGCUGGGUGGUUGAUCGAGGUUACCGGGGCGAGCUUGUUGCACGAGUGCUGCUAUUACUCGCAGUGGACAGUCUGCAGAAAGAUGCAUGGAGGUGCUUCACUUUUGACGAGCUAUGCCGUGGCCUUUGCGGCACGUCGGUGUCGGAUCUCAGAAAAGCAGAGCUGGGAGUGGAGGACGAGGAGAAGGGCCGUAAAAAUGUGGGUGACGCCAAGUUCCUUUGCUUGCAGUUCAGGAAAACGGACAUUCCACUGAAGGAGCUCACGGCAGAGAAUCUGCUUGCAUUUGGAAAGGCGGGUGUUGGCAUUAUUUGCAGUGGAGGCAUAGACAUUAUCAUCGUAGGCUUUUUCGGUGGCACGUUCAGCUUGGAGACGAUGACCGCCAUUCUGGUGAAAGUGAAGAGGACGAAGACGCUAGGCAACUUGGAUUUGGCAUAUGCUAAAUGUAGCCCGGAGUUUUCUGGGAUGGUGGCUCUACUCGAGGUACCGUACGUGAGCUUGCUCGUGAAUGUUGCUGACAGUUCCAGUGACGAACUUGGAAACUCAGAACGACAAAGCGUCAGUUUCAAAACUGGGAAACUCGUUAAAGCGGCAUUAAUGAAGAAGAUGCCUGCAAAUGUUUCGAUGGGAGUGGCACUCCAGGAAACACACCCAAAUUGCGAAGGUGUCGAGCUAUGGGGAAAGGAGAAAGGAAUGUCGUCCAGGAGCAAAAGACGUUCUUUACGGAAUGUCGAGGCAUGGAAACGAUAUUUUACUCCGGUUGAUGACGAUCUCCAACACAUUGUGGCCAUUAAAGGUGCGUUUUCUGUUGUUCUGUUGACAGUCACAUUGUUUUUUCCGCAGGUUUGCAGGCAUUCUCAUCCAGGGACCAAGUGAAACGCCUGGUUGACAUUACUCUGAAAUCCACUCCAGGGAUGAGGCGGUUAGAGGAGAGGAGUCAGAAGAUAUGUGCAGAGAUGAUGUUUAGCCUUGUCAGAAAGAGAAAACUGCGAAACAAAAGGUGAUGAUAGUUGCUCUUACACUACUCUGUAAGGAGUCUAUAUUUCUCUUGACGAUAUUAUUUGUGCAGUGGCUGUCACAAUAUAUACUGCUCCAAAUUCUGGAAUGUCGCUGGCUUGCAUCUUUUUCAAAAGGAGGCAAGAAGAACUUAUUUGACUAACAUAAAAGUUUGUUCUGGCCAUGGUCGUCCAUGACAAACUUGAUCUCCAGUGCACCACAGCAGUGUGAACAUAAAGAAGAAUCUGUAGUAGAGAAAAAGAAAAGGAACAAGUUAGCAAAGAACCAACAAAACAAUUUUACAAAAAAAAUUGUUGUAACACACAAUACAUGCUUUUUAAAUUACUGUCAACCAUCGACAGAUUAAUUAGCCCUUACACCCUAAGUCAAUUGGCUAAAGAUCUUUAUUUUAUUAUCUUAACCUGGUGCUUAAUAAUCUUCCUUUUGCUAGGGAAUAAUCUGCAAUCAUAUUUAAAUCACCCUUGGUCACUAUAGUCUUUCUCUUAUAGUUUACCAAAUUUUAGUUCUCCCUCUAGAUCCAUUAUGUUGAAUAUUUCUUUAAAAUAUUUUUGCCCCACUCGUUAGCCAUGAGAAUCAAAUCUAACUUUGAUUACACCUUAAGUCAAUGGUAAUCACUACAUUGCAAAGCUUUUUCUUUAUUUUAUUAUCUUGACCUGAUGCCUAAUAUUGGGGGUGGUGAUCUGCUUUACGUCAACACUUUCACAGUAAUUCUUCCUUAAUCCUUUCUAGCUUUCCAUGCGUAUGUUUAAGCCCAGAGGAUAUUCCGUCGCGGCGCCAUUGAUUCCAAUAUUCCAAUGGCGCCAUUGAUUCGACUAAGCCCAGAGGAUAUUCCAAAGAAUAAAUUAAAAUAUACAAAUUUUAAAUGCUGCAUAUUAAAGAUCUAAAGCCCAUUUGAAACAUUAGAUUUGGGCUUAAACAUGAAUGACUUUAGAUCGAUUGACCGUACACAGAAAGGCUAAUCCUUCGAGGCUAAGCUCGAAGAAUUCAUGAUAUGAAUCGUGAAGUGGAUUUAAGAGCCAUUCUCGUUUAAAUUUCUAGGCAAAGAAGAGCUUCACCACAAUGCAAUUGCUCUGUGCGUAAGGAUUUGACAUUCUUUUCUUCGCGUUUCAGGUCACAAAAACACUGAGCUGAAAGUGUAUGGAGGUGAAUACUACAGGUUUGUGAUUGCCUUCUCUUGCUCUGGCUAGAACUCACGUUCUACCGAUACAACAUCGAAUGGAAGCUCCUCCGAAGAGGCUAAGCUAUAUGCCUUCAAUUUCGUUUUUACUUCGUUUCUCGACUAACAAAAGAUCUCUUGAGACUAGAUUUUAAAUCAAAAUGUAAGAUAAGAUGGAUAUAAGAUGGAUGAACACAGGCUCUUUUGUUCUAUUUUCUGGACCUUAUUACACGCUGAAGGUUGGCUGUUUGUAGACAUCUGUAAUAACCUGGUUAAACAUUUGUAUGUUUGCCGUCGCGAGUGGAGUUCCAAAAAACUACCUCAUGGUGAUCAUUGUGGGAGCAGCAGUCCAGGCCAUUGUGCUGCUUAUUCUACACCAUUAAAAAGUUCGCCCACUUCGUCCAAAACGUUCUAUGGUUGUAGAAUUAGUGAAAACAUAAAGAAAAGCGCAUGAAAAUGUUACAGUAAAGGCACCCCUUGACCUCACCAAUGGAAGAAAAUAAGUAAGCAUUUCGGUAAGGGGAGAGGGAGAAUCUGUAAUGUAAACUCUAGGCGAGACGCAAAGCACGAAGAACACUGAGAAAGUUCUCCCACUUAAGGAGAUCGCCUGCCCUAGCUAAAUCAAAGAGAGAAGAACUCAGAUUCGCCUUUUCUCAGCCAAAUCGUCGCAAGCUCUCAGUGGUGUCAACGUAUCGGCUAUCGCUUGAUGCGAAGACCACGAUCAUCAAACUCACAAGACUUGGAUUGCGCUGAUUUUUUGUCGAAUCAUCACCGUUCCUGGGCAAGAACAAGGGCACUUCCACGGGGGAGAAAACCAAACUCGCUCCUGCCCAUACCUCCUCGCCAUCGAAAUCAUCUUUGCUGCGAGAUCGCGUCACAAAAAAGGCAAGACAGGAGGUACCAAUCGAUCAUCCCACGCCGCAAGAACAGGGCAUCAGACUUAAACUAAUGAGCGUAGAGGAGCCCUACCAGGGACGGCCGAGAUUAAAUCACUGAUCCAACGGGCACGAUCUCUUAUGUCGUUUAGCCCAGAUUAACAAAGUUGAGAAGGUUUACCAGCAACACAGUCAAUGGCGCUGACUGGAAAUUGAAAUUUGACUGCCCAGUCAAAUAAAUAGUGUGCGAGGAUCCGGAGCGUGAUCACGAAAAUGGCUCAUGGAAAUCUCUCCUCGCUGCCGCCACUGCUGCUUAUUCUCAUUUCUUCCUUGGUGAUCUUCUCAUCCCGCGCUGCCGAUCCCGAUCCAGCGCAGGAUUAUUGCGUCGCAAACGUCGAGCUCCCGCUGCGAGUGAAUGGCUUCACUUGCAAGCCCGAGGUCACUCCGCUCGAUUUCGUCUCCUAUCUCCUGCGAGAGCCCCCGAAUCCCACCGCCCUGGAGAACAAUCGACUGGGUUCCAUCGUCACGCAGGUGAACGUCCAGAGUUUCCCGGGGCUCCACACCCAGGGCCUCUCGAUCCAACGCUUCACGUACGCCCCCGGCGGCGUGAUUCCUCCCCACGUCCAUCCCCGGUCCUCGGAGCUGCUCUACGUCCUCCAGGGAACGGUCGUGGCGGGGUUUGUGACCACGGACAACCGGCUGUUCCAGGCGACGCUGGAGCCCGGCGACCUCUUCAUCUAUCCCAGAGCUCUCAUCCACUUCUCGGUGAACACGGGCGAGACGCCGGCGCUGGCGAUCGCGAGCUUCAACAGCGCCAAUCCGGGCACGGCGCUGCUGCCCAACGCGCUCUUCGCGUCCGUGCCCGUGCUCCCGGCCGCGGUGCUCGCCAAGACGUUUGCGUUGAGCCAGAGGGUCAUGGAGAGCUUACGGCUCGCAUUGAGGAGCAUUCUAACCUAGCUAGUAGCAGUAGCAGUAGUGAUCUAUCGAUUCUCUGUCGCGAUUAUCUACAUCGAUCGAUCGAUCCAUUCGUGCUUUGAAUUUAAAUUUGAAAGGUCUUUUCCUAAUAGAAUACCCUUGGGUUUGGAAAAGGCUGGCGGAUAGGUCGCGCUUCUUCGAAAGAUGCCAAUGUUUUGUCUCGCAGGGAAAUCAGUGUGAUCAGGGAAUAUCUAUCCUCAUCAGAGGACGUCAAAGAUGACAUAGUCCACAUCGAAAUGACGAACAACGAGGGAGCGCUGAAGGGCACUGUUCAAGUCAGUCGCUGACAAGGCGUUUGAGGUGCUUGAGGCGGCAAGGACGCGUGAGCGUGAGCGUGAGGCGGAGGCGGCAGCAAUAAUCAGUAAGUUCCUCUUCUUGCUCGUGUAUUUCGGUCUCAUGUCGAUUCUUCCGCGUGAGCAAAGCUCGUACUUGGACUUGGAAAAUGCGCAUCAGAAUGAUGGGAGGAUUGUGACAGUCCAGCACGCCAUCUCUGGGAGCACGAAGCGAUACUCAGUGAUGCUGAAGUCGGGCCGGUUGCUGCAAGGAACGUCCGAAAGCUCCUCACGAACCUACGGGCCGACAUCGAGCGCCACGCUAACUGCUGGCAAAUCCGUCAGUGCGUUCGGGAGCCGGAUGACUCCUGCAAUGAUCUCGUCUACCAGGAUGCAGCACGACUGGUAGUCGGCCACUGUACCACGCAAAAUGUUGACAUGCACAACUUCACAAAGUGCUGCCGGUUCCAAAGGAACAGACUAGCAAGAUCAGCGGCAGGCGACAGCACCUUACCUGACUUCGCUAUUGGCAUCGUCCAGCCGGCCAUGGUGGUAUCGACUAAUGCUUACGAGUGGUGCGACAUCUACGUGGAGUUCAAAAACGACGAAUCCAAGCUUGCUGAGGGGUGUGGCCAGGUUCUGGAUAGGGCAGAGAAGCGCUGGAAAGAUGCUUGCGCCAAGAAGAAGGUGGCGUUGGGUGGUGUGUCUACAGGCAAAGAUCUAUUACCUAUGGUCGUAUUCACAGAUGCAAUUGUCGGCUCUCAUGUUGUCAAAGGUGUCAGGUGGAGCUUGGAAAGUGAUGGAGCCGCAGGUGUGACACCAGGAGUGGUGCAUGUGGAUAGUUUGGCGCUGCCGGAGCUCCUCUUCCAGAUCUUCUGUGCCUUGCACUUUUCCAGCAGAUGUUUCACCAUGAAACCAGGAGCUGGCAUUCCAAAGCUGGAGCCUUCCCACUCAUACAAGGAGAAGUAUGUCGUGCGGUCUGAUUCAGGCGAGAUAUGGGAGCUAGAGCUCGUCCACACGUACAUGGACUUCCUCUUCCGCGGGGGCUGCUAUUUGGUUCGGUUGGAUGGCAGCAAGCAGCAAGUGGUGCUCAAGCGAGGCCCAUGCAGUCGGUCAAGUGUGCAGCUGAAGGAUUUGGUCUUCCAAUUGAGCUCUUCAGCCAGGUUGAGAAUGAGAUCCGCGUUCGGGAGGUUCUGGCUGCCAGUGGAUGCAAGAUCAGGAUCCCCGAGAUUCUGUAGUCAGGCACGGCUUUACAGCCGUUUGGCUGGAGAAACUGCCCGAUCGUGCUCAUGAAUUACGUUGGUGAAUCGCUACACAGCAAGACGCUUCCUAUCCGGGACGCCGCCAAGAUGGGAGCUAGCCUGCCAAUCCCAAAGUCGAGAAGGUGGAGCCGCUCCAAACCAACUCCUUGCUCGCGGUAAGCAACGUUCCUGGAGCUGAUGUCUCUAUGGAUUAUCUCCCGCUUGUGCAGAUCCAGCACCGUCUCCACCGUGAUUUCCUCGGACAAUGGUGGUAGCGUGGGAAGCAGCUCUGUCAAGGACCUGGAGUUUGGCUCCAUGAACUCGGUGUUGGGCAACAGCGUUGACGCUUCAGCGGAUCUGGAGGGCAUUCUGUAUACGAUGGUAAAGGUGGCCGGGAUGGAUCUGCCGUGGUCGACUGCUGCGCAGGAGGAGGACGAGGACUUGGUGGUUACCAUCCGGCGCCAGGUGUUGGACCAGGGCUUCCUUGCGAAGCUCAAGGAGCCCCUCUUCAAUCAGUUGCAACAGGCAGUGUUCAACGUCCGCCCUGAUGUUCCUUCACCAUAUGAUCAUUUCCAUUGUCUAGCCUCUAAAUCUCCCGGCUCGCCCCUGCUCGCCAAGACGUUUGCAUCGAGGCAGAGGGUCAUGGAGAGCUUGCUGCUUGCAUUGAGGAGCAUUCUAGUAGAGUAGUGACCAAUCGAUCCUAUCCAUUCAUGAUGCUGUUUGAAUUUAAAUUUGAAAGAACUUUCAACGACUAUAGAGAGGAAUUAGGGUUCUUGCAAUGUCGCAGCUAGAACGACUGUGUCUUUGGCGAUGGCGGGCCUUGGAUCGCUCUUUUCAACAUCUAGAAGCUGGUGAGGAAGAUUCAUCGUCGCAGCGCAAAUGAAUCCCACGCAACAAGCUCGUGAGCGGCCGGCCCUCGCCAUCAUCUUUCUGUGCUCGCCCCAAAUUUCGUCGCGGCGAGCUCGAGAUGGAAGAUCGAUCGAGAAAUGGGGUGGAGCAGCCGGUGAUCGGGCAGGAUAGCAACAGGAAGCUCCGGAUCUUGAGCAUCGAUGGCGGUGGAAUGAGAGGAAUCAUCCCAGCCCAUAUGCUGGCCUACUUGGAAACGGCUCUCAAGGAGAAGAGCCACAAUCCAGACGCUCGCAUCGCCGAUUUCUUCGAUCUGGCGGCUGGAACCAGCGUUGGGGGACUCAUUGCCGUGAUGCUCUUCGCAUCAUCCGACUGCCGCGAUGAUCAAGACGAAGAAAUCUCCUCCUCCUCCUCAUCGUCCACGGGAGAUCAUCAAAACCACGGUUCUAAGUCACUACGUCGGCCUCUCUUCACGGCCGCAGAGGUUUGCACGUUCAUCUCGGACAGAGGCAAGGAGAUUUUCAAGAUCCCAUACCCGCAGCGAGUGUUUGCAAAGGUCCGAGGGAUCAUGACACCCAGGUACUCCACCAAGUUCUUCGAGAGAAUCCUCAAGCAGCACUUGGUCCGAGGUGGUGGCGAUGGCAGAGAUCUCACACUGGAUGACACGCUCAAGCCCAUCGUCAUUCCCUGCUACGAUCUCACAAACGCCAGCGCCUUUUGCUUCUCGCGAAUCUCCGCCAACUUCAAGCUCUGGGAGGUUUGCCGGGCUACCACGGCGGUUCCAUCGUUCUUCAAGCCCAUCCACGUCUCGUCCGUGGAUGGAAAGCACGAGUUCACGGCAGUCGACGGUGGCCUGGUGGUGAACAAUCCCACCGCCGCGGCGAUCACGCAUGCUUUGCACGACAAGGCUCGCUUCCCGGGUGUCCGAGGGGUGGAAGACAUGCUCGUUCUAUCGCUCGGCACCGGACAGUUUGAUCAAACUUACCGCUACAACAAAGUGGAGCGGUGGGGAGCUUUCCAGUGGGCCAAACCCAUUGCCAAGAUCAUCAUGGACGGAAUCUCGGACAUGGUGGAUCACACGGUCAGCAUGGCGUUUAGCAAGCACCGAGAGAAUUACGUGAGGAUUCAGGUGGGUUAUCUAUCGUUGAGAGUUUGCUUUGACGAACGACUAAAGUUUGUUUGCUUUGCUUCCAGAUGUCUGGCUUGCCGGGCAAAGCUCUCCUCGCAAUGGACGAUCCAAGCCAGGCCAACGUGAAGACACUAACCGAGAUUUCUACUCGGCUCUUGGACCAAAAGAGCUCGGAACACAUCCCGUUUAACGGGCGAAGAGUUUUGGAAGAGAGUAAUAGACAGAAGCUGGACUGGUUUGCCGAGCAACUCGUGGCAAACACUCCAUCGUGAUCGAUUGAAUAUAGUUUCUUAUAUACAGGAUCUUUCAUAUGCACAACGAUGAGAAGCUUUUUACACAAUCUACAGGGCUUGGGCGGUACUCGAGCAUGCCUCCGCGCUAGCAGCAGCCAUGCGAGGUACGUCCACUCCUUCGUUGCAAAGAUUUGCAAACGCUCUCAUGUGUUUCAUGCCAUACUGUCCCAGCAAACCACAGCUCGUCUCGAAAGCUUGCACCUACAAAGUCACAUCAUAGAGAGAAGAUCAUCGAAAAGAUCACACAAAGUUCUCGAAGAACACUUGCCAGCGAUUUCAGGCACGUCCAAUCGUCCACGAGCGCGAGGCCGGAGCCCCGGACGGUGCUUAGAACUUUGGAUGCCGCAGCCUUGGAGCCAAACAGACGCUCGCCAACUUGGUCCACGCUCUCGUCGACGUGCUGUCUGUGAGCCAAGGCGUUCAUCAUCCUCUCGCGAGCUUCUCGUUUGGCACUUCCAUCCUUGGCUCGGCGAUACUACACUCGACGAAACGAUGCAAUCAUCGAUCUAGAAAAGAAAAGUUCUUCUCUUCGUACCUUGCUCCACAGGUGUAGCAAAUCCGCAUCACGCUGGCUAACACCAUUGGCACUGCUCGGGAUGAUCAAGUCGCCAUUGCCAUCCGCGAUUGCGGGAUCAAAGCCCAAGAACAUGGAAAGCGGGUUAGAGUUGAGCUCCACGUCGCCGUAUUGCAUUACGUGUGAUCCGGCCUCGUAAGUGUUGUGAUUCGAGGUUCUAUCUUUCACCUGCAAGAUCGAAGUAAAUACCAAGAGAUCCCGAUCGAUUCAGCAAACUCACGUCUAGAUACUGUUGAAGUAGCGUCUCCCUCUUGAGAUUGUGAACUUCGCUGUUUGGAAGAGAGAUCUCGUAAGCUCAAACGUCAAGAAAACUUAGAACUUUAGAAGAACCUGUCCUCCAUCCAAGCGACGCUGUAGAGAUCUCCCAAGCAAGUAUCAUACUCGGGAGGAGCCGAGGGUAGCAUUCCAGGGCAGUAAGUUCCCCAGCUGCUCUCGAUCGCGUUGGAAGCGGUGGUAACGUAGAGAUCCAGUCCCAGUGGAAGCAAUCCCUCGACCAUGCUGCCACUCUCGCAAGCCUCGAUAUAUAUCACCUAAAGUUGGCAGCUCGAGUAGUAGCAUCUUCUUUAGCUCACGACGAACAAAGAAAGAACAAAGAUGAAAAGAUCUUUACCAUUUCUCUGUAGCCUCCGGAUGCGUGCUUCUUCUUGAUGACGUCGAUGAGAUCAUUUGCGUAGAGAUUCGACUCUCCGGGCAUUCCUGUCAAGCACGACAAGCUAAGUUGUUUGUCUUUCUCGAGUCUAGAACAAAGAAGGAAUCACCGAGAACUCCAGGGCCUCCGUGAUCCGAGUAGAAGAGAAAGACAUGAUCUUCCGGCCCGCUGCUCACGACUUUGCCAGUUCCGCCGCUGGUGGAAUUCUUGUCCCCGAGAAGAACAGCCAGGAAAUUCUCGGCGGUCACGGCAGCGCCCGUGUAAUCCUGGCCACAGAACAAUCAAUCAAUAACGUAACUUCCAAGAAAUCCGCGAACAAGUCAAAACUCCUUCACCUUUGGAACUCCGGCAUAAACGUCGGAUCCUUGGGGAUGAUUGAUGAUCGUUCCCGGGCGAGGAUUGUCCGUGUUGUUGGCUAUGUCGUCGAACAUCAUCACCACAAUGUUUUCCUCCUUGAGACCAUUGCUGCGCAGCAACUGGUAUGCAUGGCAAACAUCCGCCUAGAGGAAAGCGCAGUUUGGAAGCAAACAAGAGCAAACGAAGAACUUAGAACAAGAAGGAAGCGAAGAACAUAGAGAAAGAAAGCGAUGGAAAGACUCCUCUCACCUGGUGCCUGUAGUUGCCAAACCCGGAAGAUCCAGCAACUAGCAGCGCCCACCUCGUCCCGGACGCAACGUCCUCGCUCGAGGGCAUGCGAAUUGGAUUGUGGGCUGCGAAAAAGUCCAGUGGCCUGGCCACCGCCACCGCCACCGCCACCAUCGCUAGAACCAGCCACAGGAAGAAUCCCACUCCCAUGACGACGAUCUCUCUCGAGAAAGAAAGAAAGAAAGAAAACCGAAGGGUUACGAGAGAGCUUGAGUCUCUCUCUCUCCCUUUAUCGUGAACAGUAAGAGAGCCCACCUAGACUCCCAAAACUCUAGCCAAGACUGUCGAGGAAUCCAUCCACGUCGGCCUUGAUGGUGCUUAGAUCCGCCUCGGCGCUCAAGCUCAGCUUGCCAUCGCUCACGCUCACCAGCACCUUGGCCUGGAACGCGUUGGCGUAGGCAUUGGGAUUGCAAAACAGCUCGAAUCCCACCUCCUCGCCGCCAUCGCCACCAUCGCCACCAUCGCCAGCGCGGUAUGCAAACUCGACGCUCUUGAGCCUCUUGGGCCGCCCUCCUUCCUCGUGCGCCUGCUGCUUCUCCCGGAACGUCUGGAUCAGUCCUUCCAUCGUCCCGCUCAGCGCUCGCGCCUUGUCCAUCGACAUCGGCAUUGUGAUGGACGUCUCGCCAACGUGAAGCGUCAAGCUCUUGGACGCGAUCGUCGUCGUCCCCGCGGCUACCAAAACACACUAAAAAUCCCACCUUUGCCUCGAAUUCGACAUCUCACCUGCGCUGGGAUUGCCGUUGGAGCUCGAGCAAGCGAUCGGCAAUGCGGUGUGCCUGUGUGACAAGAACACUCUCGGAAGAGCAACCAUGCCCGCCAUAGCCAUUGUUCUUCCGGACCACAAAAACUAACAAAACCCUCGAUCUUCUUCCUCUCUAUCUUAGCUCCAAAUGGCGGCAGCGAUCAAAUGGGACGAUGGCUUCCCCAAGCUGGAUCUCGACUCGUUUAGCUCCAAGAGGAAGCGAUCGCUCAAGAGAUCCUCCAAGAACAACUGGCUCCAAAGAUCGCUGCAGUGGAUCGAGGAGAGGAACCUGGGGCCGGGCGGCGGCGCUGGGAUCGGGUGUGGAGUAGGGCUGGGAUUGGGCGUGACGGGAUCGCUAGGACUGGGCGCUGGAUCCUGGAACGACCUCCGUGUCAUCUUCGGAGUAGGCGCCGGGUGUGGCGUUGGAAUCGGGUAUGGAAUCGGGCAUGGGCUUGGCUUUCUCUGGGAUAGGCCACCGGGACCAUCGCCACCACCACCAAAACGAAAUUUUGUCUCGUGAUUCUUCUUCCUCCCAAGAACAAGAAUAAGAUCUCUUACGUUCGAUUUCCAUAGCUAAAGCUAGAAGAUAGAAUCGCUCCAUAGCUACGUAGAAGAAAGCUACCUAGAAGAUAGACUACGUAGAAGAAAUCUAAGAAUCUCCAUAGCUACGUAGAAGAAAGCUACCUAGAAGAUAGACUACGUAGAAGAAAUCUAAGAAGCUCCAUAGCUCAUAUGAAUAUGGACCAAGGUCUCCAAGUAUAUACAAACCGGGUAAAAAUCCCAUCUUGCUCGAUCUUCCUCCAUUUCAUCUGUCGCGAGCUUCACGAUCUUGCCGGGCAUGGCCGGAGGAUCGCCCCCAUGUCCGUCUUGUACGCCUGGCGGCACCCCGGGCAUCGCCCAUCAUCCGACGCGAUCCGGUGGUGGCAAAACAAGCACAGCCGGAAGCCACACGCGCAAGGCUGGAACGAGGAAUCGGUGCUGUCCAGCUCCUCCGUGCAAAUCGGGCAGCACGCCGGCCCCGCGCUCGCGGCCGCCGCCGCUACCGAUCUCGCGAAGAAAUCCCUGUGCCUGUUCGUCACCCACGCCGCUGGCGGCCGCGGCGGUGGCGACGGUACUCGUCGCUCCACUCCAGUCGGCCUGGGAAGCAGCGGCGGUAGCGAGCUCGGGGUGAUGAUCCUGGGAAGGCUGGCCGGACGGAACGUAUCCUCAACCUUCCAAGCUGCGACGGCGGCUGGCGGAGAGUUCCUGGCGUCCUGGUGGCGGAUCAUCCUGUCGUCCCUGUGCCUGUUCACCACCAUCGCCACCUUUUCCUUCUCGGCCGGAUCCUUGUUGAGAUUCAUCUGGGAGUCGAGAGCGUCGGCCGCGGCCUCCCAAUCCUCCUCCUCCUCCUCCUCUCCCCCAUCCUUUCCUUUCUCUCCACCGAGAACUUUGUCACAGUCCCCGGAAGCUUUGUUCUUGCUCUUGCUCUUGCCUUUCCUGCCAGAUCUUCUCUUCCCUCCCUUGCUGCUCAUGUCGGGAGGAUCCAACACCACGCCCCUCUGACUAGAGCAAGAAAUGGAUGAUUUACUUACACUCGAGUUAAAAUUACAGGAGAGGAGGUCGAGCGGCCCACCGUCGCACAGAUCGUCGUGGUUGAUCACGCACGACUCGGCGUCACUGUCGCCUCCGGUGCUCGAUCCGUGGAGGUGCUGCUCCUCGCCCAACUUGGGCGAUGGGCUCUCAAGCACGGAAUUCGGAGACAAGCUCGCCACAAGCUUCCCUACACAGAAAAAAAAGGGGGAAAAACCAUUCACUCCAUCCAUCCAUCGCGGGCGAGAAAGGAAGAAAAAGUCUGUGUCGCCUACCUUGAGAGAGCCAUUGCUCGCGCCGGGCAUCCAGCUUGAACUGCUUGAGCUUGGCGUUCCUGUUCACCUGCGCAGGGAAGGAAGGAGACCAUGAAUUAGGGUUUAGAGGAAACCGUGGGAGCGCUGCCAAAUCCUUACCCUCUUUCGCUUGCUGGCGUCGCGGGCGAGGAGCGAUUCCAAGGGGAGCUGGCUCGCGUCCAUGGCGAUGGCGAUGGAGCUGGAAGAAGAGAUUUUCGCGAUUUUGUUGGAAAGAGAGAAAGGGUAGGAAGGAAGAAGGAGAUAUCAAAUAGUAUAACGAAAAAGCACGGCCGCGGCGGCGAAGAGCCCACUGAUGAUUUAACGGAGGAGGAAGACGACACGCCAAACCGGAUUGGACGGCCAGGAUUGCUUCCGUUUGACCGAAGCAAGCUCCGAGCCGACGAAGCAUUCUCUGACACGUGGCAUCAUCGUAUAUGUUCUUUUUCUUGGCGAGUUGGGUGUUCUAUACCUGACAGGGGAAGAAAUUAGAUUAACGGAUAUAAAAGAAAGUGCCGUUACUCGCAGGAAAGUCAAUACAGGAAUAUACCUCCUUCACUGGAACUUGAAAUUAGGGCUCUAGCGCAGCAGGCAUGGUGAUCUUGCGGCGGAUGCGCACGCUUCUCUUUCCACCCUUCCUGGCACUCUUGGCGAUCAUCUUCUGGAGCGCCUCUCUUCAGAUCCCGAGCGCCUCUGUUCUCGAUUUGGAGUGUCUCGUGUGUCAUGGCGUCAAUGUCGUCAAAAAUCCAUUGUGGCAAUUGCGCGCGCUCAGCUUCGACAGGGAUCCGCCCAAGCAGCGAUCCGAGAGCGAGAUCGUGGUAGCCAGCGACAGCGUAACAGGGCUGCCAAGUCUAGAUGAUCAAGAUCGCGUCUUUCAGCUGGAAAUUCCUUCUGCUUCUACGACGGCAUCAGCUGAUUUGGAAGGCGGCGAAGAUGAGAUUGACAAACAAAAGGAGAUUGGCGAAUUCUUCCAGGAGCUCCAAAGGAAUUCAUCGUCCACUAUAGCCGAUCGUAACAGCACUCUUGAAGAUUCCAGCCAAGCAGGGGAGAGGCCGCUACAACCGCCCAACGAUCCAUCAAUAGCUCGAAACGCUUCCAUUAAUCCCCCUUCUAUAAGUUCCUUGACAGCUGAUGAUCAAGAGGGGAAGCGUGCGAUCGAAGAGGUGGAGCGACUUAUGCAAUUCUUGCGAAGAUCAGGAUCAGGCCAGGUAAAGAAGUCUCCACAGGAUUGCCAGGGAAGAAACGUCUAUGUCUACGAUCUUCCACCCAAAUUCAACACGGAUCUCCUCAAGCAAUGUGAAACUCUGCUGCCAUGGAUGAGCAUGUGUGAUUUCGUCCGCAAUUCGGGAAUGGGUCUUCCAGUUUCGAUCGACGCCGCUCGCGAUUUCCUCACUCCUCGCGGAUCUUGGUUCAAGACACACCAGUACGCGCUGGAGAUGAUCUUCCACGCCCGGAUCCUCGACUACUCCUGCCGGGUGCUCGAUCCAUCCCUCGCCGACGUGUUCUACGUGCCCUACUACGCCGGCCUGGACGUGAUGCGAUGGAAUUUCGUGCCCAACGUGAGCAGCGCACAGAGCGACGUGUUGGGCGACGAGCUCAUGACAUGGCUGAUUCAGCAGCCGUCCACGUGGAAAACGGGCGACCGACGUGACCAUGUCAUAGCCCUGGGAAAAAUCUCCUGGGAUUUUAGGCGUAUGACAUCGGACGCAAAAUGGGGGAGUAAUCUCCUCGCGCGCGCGGACAUGGCCAACGUCACCAAGCUUCUCAUCGAGCGCCACCCCUGGCACCCCAAUGACGUGGGCGUGCCACAUCCCACCUUCUUCCACCCGGGUUCCGACGUGGACAUCACGACGUGGCAGGCUCGCGUGCUCAGGGACGACGUCCGGCCGAGCCUCGUCGCCUUCGCUGGCCAGCCCAGGCCCGGGCAGGGCGGGAGCAUCCGUGGGGAGCUGAUACGGCAGUGUACGGCUCGCUCGGACCUGUGCCGGACCUUGGACUGCGGCUCCGGGGCUUGCUUUGGUCCCGAGGCGACUCUAGGUCUGUUUUUAGUCUCGGAUUUUUGCCUCCAGCCAGUUGGCGACAGCCCGACCCGGAGAUCGGUGUUUGAUUCGCUGCUGGCCGGCUGCAUUCCGGUUUUUUUCGACCCCUUCACGGCCUACUACCAGUAUCCAUGGCAUCUUCCGUCAAAUGGUAGCGCAUAUUCUGUUAUGAUCGCGGCAGAUUCUGUUACCGACGUGGAUAUCGUGGGCGAGCUCCAGAAGAUUCCAUUCGCACGGAGGAAGGAGAUGCGGCAUUUCAUUGUCCACGAGAUUCUCCCCGGGAUCGUCUACGCGCAGCCGGGAUCCAAACUGGAGAAAUUCGAGGACGCCUUCGACGUUGCCAUGAGAAACGUGAUUGCCAGGGUCGCUUCGAGAGAGGUUUACGAUUCCAGCGAGCUCAGAUGAUCGAUCACCCAAAGUUUGCUUGUUGUAUAGAUUUAUACACACAAUUGACACACACACGACACAUUCUUUUAUAUCUCUUUCUUCACGGCAGCAAACGCAAAUGGUGUUCCACAUAAGACUUAUACAAAGAGUUCUUCCGUUCUCACAUCAUCUUUGUUUUUGCUAUCCAUCUUGGACGGCUCAUAAAUUAAUCCUUGAGGACUCGAAUGGGAAGUAGAAGAACGAUGAACCACGGGUUGAUCCAUCCAUCCCUUUGUCGCCUCCAUCACUCCCGCAGCCCGAGCUCGAGCUCUAAAGCCAGGCCGCGGUUUGCUGGAUGCUACAACUCCCAUUCACUUCAUGCCUCGGCCCAGAGCGUGGAGAGGAAGAGCUGUCGAACGAACUUUGAUCGAACGCUUGCCUCUUCCAGCUUCUGCUCUCUCUCUUCGGCCGUGAGGGAGCAUUCAGCACUGUUAAGAUCCAAAAAAAUCGCAACUUGAUCAGCAACUGCUGCGAGAAAUCACUUUCGUAUACAAAGACAUACCUUAGCUCGGCUGGAGCUGUGGAAGUAGCAAGAGAAACCGAAUCCGAGUUAUCCAAGCUCAGCUUGGAAGAAUCGUCAAUCUCGGAUAUGGGCAUGUUACAGACAAGCGUGGACAAGAAGAGAUCCGGAAUUCCAGAUCCUGUCCUUGCCGGAGAGCACGCUCCCAGGAGAGCCUGCAAGUGUGCUUGAUUCAUGUCCUUCCCACUGAAGGGAAAUCCGGAAUGGGACGUGAUUCCCGGCCUCCUAAACUUGCGACGCCUCUGAAAGUAAGCUUCUCGUCAAGGAUAAUACAAACGAGGAACCGGAACAAAGAUAAGAAAACCAACUUUUUCAAAGGAUAUCUUGAAGAGAUUUCCGUGAUGAACUGUGAUAUGGCUGAUCAUGUCCUUCCCGACUUUGGCAGCACACACGGGACACAGCUAUAGACACAGAAACGCAAAGAAUCAAAAUCCACGAAGGAAGAAGAAGAAGAAAAAGAGAAUUUUCUUACCACAGGUCUUGAUUCGGAGAAAUGCUCGUCCUCCAGGUGAGAACACAGAGAGAGCAAGUCCAAUCCCUCGAAACAGUAUGGACAAGCAAAAUCCGGUCUCAGUUCCUCAUCGCCCUCCACAUCAUCCACAGUGAAGUGCUGAUCUGCAUUGCGAGCGCAGAAAACCAAUGUAACACCCACGAAAAAAUUCGAUAGUGGAAAAGGAGGAGAAGAGAGCUCUAUAGCUUACCCAGCAUCGAAUGAACGGCGUACUGGCGCUUAGAGAGCAAGCGAGCUGCCCACAUAUCGCCCUCCAUGCUUGCUUCCACGGCGAAUGCGGCCGAACGGCGACGAGCACCUCAAAACCCUGGUCAAUCCCGGCCCGCCGCUGCAACCACACACGAUUCUUGCGACGGCCGCGCACACGAGAGGAAUCGCGACAUACCGGAGGGGGGAAAUCGACAAUGCCGCCGCGGCGUCGCUAUCUGGGCGCACACAAGCUUCCCUCUUGUGUGGCUAUGGCGUCCCCGAACCUGGACUGGGAUCCCAGACCUAGAAUCCCGAACCUGCGGUUACCGUGCCACGCGGCCGCGGCGAUCUUUCCAUUUUGCAACCGCAAAAAAUUAUAAGGCUAUCAUAGACACGUGGCGCAGAGCCAUUGGCAGCAGUGGUUGACUUUGCCGUGGGCGAACAGGGUAAAAACGCGGCAUUACUUUCUCUUUCACUUGGAAAUCCAGUAAAGGAACAUCAAGAAAGUGCAAACUGAAAUCACGGCUGACAAGAUCAAUGUGUCCUGGUUUUUUUUUCUUCGAAUCGCAACUAGAACAUGGUUCACCUGGAAAGCACGCAUCAAAAAAGGAUUUUUUUUUAUCCCCACACUGAUCGAUCUGCGAACUUCUUACCGACGGUAGAAUGGAUCCUACGUUGUUGAUCUUGAAUCCGAUCGUUCCAAACAAGCUUCGCUGCGUGGACAGCGCGCUGAGAGCUGCGUGUGCUUGAUUCACGACCGAGUCUAUCUGAGAACCAAGUCACUGUAAGAAAAAAGAAGUAACUUUGUCUAGAUCUUAGAAGAACCUGAGCAGUAGAUCUCUGGAUGGAGCUCCUCUCUUGCACAAGGGGAUCAACUUCCAAUCUUCUCUCCGAUGGCGAUCGAAAAGAGUGGAGCAAUUCGGCGUGCUCGCGAUUGUCUUUGGCAAUAGCUCGUUUCCUCUUAAACUCCUGCGAGAGCUCUCACUAUGUCAAAGGAGAAAAGAAAGUUCUUUCUCAUACAUUUUCUUACCUGGACGAACUCGUGAGAGAUGUUUAGAUGGCGUGCCAAGGUAUGAGAAACAAUGUCAGAACCGAUCGCUGACAUCAAAGACUGCAUACUCGAAUUGAUUUGCUGGAGUUGCUUGAGCAGCCUCUCGAUCUCCGCUUCACAAUCCUCCCCCGACUGAUCUGGCCGCCCAAAACUCGCGAGCUUCGCAUCGAUCUCGUUCUCCAGCCUUCGCGCCUGGCAUUAAACCCUUAGAGAGAAUGCUCACGGAUCAAGCGCCCAUUGCUCACCUGCUUGCGGAGAUCGUCCCAUCCGACUCCGGCGAAGCUCGGAUCCACCGCCAUUUUCUUUCUUCUUCUUCCUCACGAACCCUAAUUGGAAGCCCUAGUCAGUGACAAAAAGGAGAAGAUACCAAAAUUUCAAAUUCAAAUUCAAACCAUUCGCGGCAAUCGAUCGAUCAAUGAACGCCUCCAAGAACGAAAAAGAUCUCUCUCCCGUGAAACUCGAGUGGGUCCUCAAAUCGAUCGUGAGCUUUUUUUUCUCGGAAAUUCAACGUGAUCCCACGUAGCUCACUCACGAUGGGUAUAUCUUUGAGCGCUCGCGCGAUCUCCCGAAGGAUGGCGAGAUGGAGCAGCAAAGAAGAUUGGGACAAACAACGCCAGCGCCAAAUCCAAAACCUGUUCCUCACGGUUCUGUGCCUCAGCCUCGCGGUUCUUCUCAUCGCUGUGCCUCGGGAAUACAGAACAACGCAGACCUUCUCGAGUAAGAGCUAUAACUUUUGACAGAGAUUCUUGGCUUACUUGUGAUCGAGCAGGAGCGAGCGAAAGGAUCGAAUCCACAGGUAAGUCCGGUGCUACGUCGAAGAAAACCGUGGAGGAUGGUGUUGCCUGUGAUCUUUCAAACUAUCGCACAGCAGUGUGUCGCCUCGCUGGUGAUCUGAGAAUCAGGGGCAGCACGGUGACACUGUUUAGUCCUAGCAACACCGACGAGGAGAUCCUCGUCCAAAAGAUCAAGCCAUACCCGAGAAAGUGGCAGAAGCAGCUCCUCGAGAAGAUUAGCGAGGUGACGAUCAAAGUGAGAAGAUCCAGCUCCAGCGCUCCACAGCACCAGUGUGAUGUCAACCACACGCAAGCCGCCAUGAUCUUCUCGACUGGAGGCUACACCGGAAGUGUCUACCACGACUUUAACGAUGGUCUCAUCCCCAUCUAUAUCACCUCGCACGGAUUCCAGGGCGAGGUUGUGUUCUUCGUCUCCGAGUUUCAGCCGUGGUGGAUGAAGAAGUACGGUAACAUUGUCAAGCAGAUGACCAAGUACCCCGUCCAAGACUUUUCCAGCGACUCCGCGCAGCACCGCGUCCACUGCUUCCCCAAAGUCGUGGUCGGUUUGGACAUCCACGACGAGCUUGCCAUCAAUGCCGCAAAGAUGUCGCAUGGAAAGUCCAUCCGAGACUUCCAAUCCAUCCUCAGUACUGCCUUCUCGGCCUCGGCCAGUCGGACCAAAGUUCCACGCACCAGGCCGAAGCUCGUCUUCAUCACUCGGCGAAGAACUCGGGUUGUCACCAACGAGGAAGAAGUGGUCCAGCUUGCGGAGAGAGCUGGAUUUGACGUCGAGGCUCUGGAACCCGGAUUCAACCACGAGAUGGCCAAUCUUUACGGGAUCAUACAGUCGGCCGACGUUCUUCUCGGUGUCCAUGGAGCAGCAAUGACACACCUGCUGUUUAUGCGACCGGGAUCACUUCUCCUCCAAAUCGUUCCACUUGGAACCAAGAGCCCGUCUCGGUCGUUCUAUGGAAACCCGGCCAUGAAAGCUGGUAUGCAGUAUAUGGAGUAUAUCGUCGAAGCCAGUGAGAGCAGCCUGUUGAAACGCUUUGGACAGAACCACUCCGUGAUAGUGAGUCCUCCAGAGAAUCCAGGAUCGUCUUCCGGGUGGAGCGAUAUGAAGAAGAUUUAUCUCGACAAGCAGAACGUUACGAUCUCGCUUUCGAGGUUCGAGCCAGUUCUUCGAGAAGCCUUUGAGAAAAUCUCAUCUCUGUGACCGACGUGGAUCCGGCAGCGCAGCAUGUAAAGAAAGUUCUUCCCCUCGGAGUGGUUUGUGAUGAGUUUUCGUUUCUUCCAGCUAGCCAGCGUUGAUGAUCCCAGCUAGAACAACAUACGGAGCUGCCUUCUGCGGAUUGAGAUGAGAGACCAACUUCGUUCCUCGGCCCCGAUCACUCUGGAGCUUGCAAGAACUCAGCAGAGCUGUCCACUGGCCGGUACCGGGAAUGAACGGCAUGCUUCCGAUGAGAUCUUCCGCCUCGUUGAGCUCUCCUGCUCGUCCCAAAAUGUCGAUCAUCAGACCGUAAUGCUCCCUCGCGGGAUUCACUCCAUGGUCGCCAACCAUGGAGCUAAAGCACCACAACGCGUCUCUCAGCACCCCAGAGUGAGUGAAACCACUCAGUGUACUCAUCAUCGUCAUGUCGUCGGGGUGGAACCCUUCCACCACCAUUUGCAGCUCCAGAUCUAGCGCCAACUUCCCUCUGCCCGAGUUUGAAAACACCGAGAUGAUCGUGUUCCAGGAUGCCGUGUUCUUCGCAGGCGUUCGAUCAAAUAUGAGCUUUGAUGAUCCGACAUGGCCGUUGUGAGCGUAGGCAGCAGCCAGAGCGUUCCAGGAGACCACAUCCGGCUCUGGAAUCUGGUGAAAGAACUCCAUCGUCUCCUUGAGGAACAAUCCUUGAGAGAAUCCCGUGAGCAUCGCGUUCCAGGAGACCAAGCUGUGUAGAGGCAUCGAAUCAAACACCGUCUUGGCGCCGAGAGCAUCGUAGUGCUGUGCGAAAGCCGCGAGAAGAGCGUUCCAGGACGAGACAUCCCACCUCGGCAUGAGAUCAAACAAAACUCUUGCCUUUUCCAGUUCCCCAUUGAAGGCAUAGCCAGCGAUCAUCCCAUUCCAGCUGACGAUGUUCCUCUCUUGCAUCUCGUGAAAGACCUCCUCCAUCUUCCUCACUCGCCGAAAGCUCCCAUAGGCCGUGAUGAUCCCAUUGCAAGAGAUCACAUCCCAAACAGGCAUCCUCCAGAAGAGCUCCUCGGCGGAAUCCAGAUGCCCAUUUUGGGCAUACGCUGCGAUCAUCGCAUUGAGCGCCACGACGUUGAAGCACGGGAUCCUGGCGAAGAUUUCUUCUGCCCUGGCGAGAUUACCUCUGUCGGAGUAGGCGCUGAGCACGGCACUGCUGGAGCACACAUCCCACUCCGGCAUCGCCUCGAAAGCCGCGAUGGCGUCAUCGAUCUGGCCGCUGUGAGCGUAGCACCCGAUUAGGGUAUUCCAAGACACGAUGUUCUUGAGCGGCAUUGCAUCGAACAGAGCCCUGGCGGCGUCGAUCUCCCCGUUCCUGGCCAGCGCCUGGAACAUCGCGGUGCUGGACACGACAUUCCACUCGGGCAUCGCAUCGAAGAGCUCCUUGGCGAGGACGAAUUGCCCGCUCUCCGAGUAGCCCUGGAGCAGCGAUGUCCACGAGAUGAUGCUCCGGCACGGCAUUCCGGAAUCGAACAGGCCCUUGGCCUCGCCCAGAUGGCCGUUGGAUGCGAGCGCGUGGAGCAUCGCAUCGCGCGCCACGCUAUUCCGGAAUGCCAUGGAAUCGAAGAGAUCCCUGGCCUCCUGCAAAUGCCCAGCCUGGGAAUAUGCGACUAGCAGCGCGGUAUCGGCCAUCACAUUCCUCUCCGGAAUCCUCUCCAGCAAAUCCCGCGCUUCAUCGACAUGCCCAUUCCGGGCAUAUGCGGUGAUCAUCAUCGUCCACGAGAACUCGUUUGGGUUGUCAAUGCCAUCGAAAACCCGGCGAGCGUUGGCCACACUCCCGCAUUUGCCGAACAUUUCAAUGGCGAGAUUGCGAAGGUAAGUGCUGCUGCGGCAUCUGCUGGAGAGAAUCGAGGCAAAGAUUGCAUUUGCCCGGACGGGGUCAUUUUCCACACCGCAUUUCCUCAGUAGCAGCGCAUACUUAUCCUCGUCAACCAGGGACAUGAGAGUUCUAAACCGUGUUCCUUUUGCAAGUGGCAAAUAUGCCAAAAAUUGUAUAAAUGUUAAUAUGUUCUGUUUUAGAUCUUAGGGCGCCCACCUUGCUAGAUUUAUUGCUGACCUUGUCAAAGGUCUAGCAAAUGUACGAAGAACAACUUACUCGUGAACAGUCGUGUAAACAGUGGAGUGAUAAUGGAGAGAUUUGGAAUGAUCCCAGCUCGGGGAUCUUGGAUCUUGGACCUUGGUGUUACGUACACGACAAGCGAUGGGAAUUUGUGGGCUUGGCCGUGCGUACGGAAGCAAAAGCAAAGUGUUUGAUGCCUAAUCGAAGAUGAUUCUUUCAAUAGCCGAGCAAGGUGGCGGGGAUCCAUAAGUUGGCGCAAGUUUCCGAGGCGCGCAAGCUAGCAUCGACGCUUCGUGGACACAUGGACCGUAUCAAACACUGCUCAAGAUUUUUUUCCUCGCGAGUUACGUGGCACCACUCAAGCGCAGCACAUCUAGAUCUUCUGGAAGUUUAAUUAACUCAGACACGAGCCAUAGUUAAUCUUUUAUUAACGAACUAGAAAUUAAACUAGAGGCUCGGGCAUUUGGAUUGGCCGCGACUGUGUUGCCAUUGCUCGAGUGACUUGAUCAGAGUUUUCAAGGUUUUGUCGCGCUGAUUAUAGACGAGGUCUUUGUGUGGUGCUCACGGGUGACGUGACGUGACGGGCGGGAUCCUUGGGUUGCGACGGGCCACAAGCGCGUCAACGCUUCACAAGCACAGUGCCACCCGUCAAUCUCCCAGCCACUCUACCUAUAUGGGCACGCAUCACCCCCACCAUUUCUCUUCGUCUCUCUCUCUCUCCUCUCUCGCGCUAGUUCUUCCUUGGCUUUUCUCGCGAUCGGUGCCUUCUCUGGGCGAUUCUCUUGAAUCUGGCAGCUUAAUGCUGCCGCGGGGACGAUUCGCGAGCGCGCGAGCUUCCCGAAGAUUCCACUCUAGGUCUGGCGGCGCUUUUCUUUCUUCGAUCGAGCAUUGAGGUAUGAAUACCUUCUUGUGCUUGGAUUUCUUCUCUCUUUCUCUCUCUCUCGUGCUAAUUCUUGCUUUGGCUUUGUUUUCCAGAAGUUUUGUACCAGCGGCUAGCUUAGAGCUACAUUAUUUUUCUCCGCGUCCCGCGAAAACAGUGUUUUUUUCUUCUUCUUCUUCUUCUUCCUCUAUUGCCUCUUUUGUGGAAAAUAACAAAAGAGUCCGUUUUGUGGGUGCGACUUUGUGGAUCAUUGACUCUGGGUGGAGAUCAAACUUAUCCCUUGUGCAAGUGUCUUACAUUUUCUUUCCCAAAAAGGCUUCCAAGUUCCAAGCACACACCAUGGGCUGUGCGCUCACCAAAACCGAGGACGAGCACAACUCGGUGCAAGCUCCCGUCCAGACCGAGGAACUCUGCGUCUUCUCGCCCGGCUUGCGCCUCCCAAAGUCACUGGAACUCGCAAACUCGGAUCAUCUCCUCCAAGCCUCCGCGAGAAAUUUGCUGGAGAGAUUGAUGAGCGUCCACUCGAGACUUGCCGCCGCGGCGCAAGAGCUCGUCUCUACAAAGAAACUCAAGAAAAAGAGGUCUUCGCUAACUGGUAACCCGUGCAUUCUCUGCAGAUUCUCUCGAUCAUCAACCUGACUGUUUGUUUGUCCAUUGUGAUCGUGUUAGUCUCGAACAUAACACAGCUUAAGGAGGCGAUUGACGACUACUUACCAGUUCUUCUCAAGCUCAUCCGGAAAGGUACGCUUAAGUUACGCGAAAAGCUUUCGGUCUUCUUAGGAUUGUCCUCUAGAGCCACGGUUGGCCGACCAAGUUCUGUUCACUUGGACAAACCAAGAGGACGAGAUAAAGGUGGGGGAAGAACUGUGCUUGUUUGCAUCUCCUCGUCUUUUGUCUAACUUUUGGGAAAUCUCUCUUUUGUACGUCGUUGAUUGCAGGAAACGACGCUGCAAAGCCCGUAUUACGAAGUGCUGUCUGUGCUACAGCUCCUGGCGACGCUCUCGCUACUGGAAGCGAACAGGGCUCUCUUGUUUAAACCUGUAAACUUGGAAGCCAGCCAUCACAGGCAGAUCAUGGACGGUAAGAGCCUUGAAUGCGUUCCUUUAUGUUGUAGAGCGCGACCUUUAACUCUUUCUCCGUUUCCAACAGAAACCAAGAAGUCUGCCAUGGAUGUUCUAUUCAAAGCUGCAGAGAUAUUGGAAUGCGCGCUUAAAUCUGUCCUCCCUGAAGCUCCUCGUGAAGUAAGGUGAGUUUAAAGUCUGCUAAAUUGGUGUUCCAGAGCUCGUUCGUUGUCUGAUCUUGUUUUUCUUGUUUAAAAACUAGCAGGAAUCAGCUGCCAGUGGACUUAAAGGAGGGCACGCUGCAGGCAAUGCAGCUCCAAGCGCUAGGACAGGUGAGAGACAGCAAAAAAAACUCUUUUCUCCUUUAGUUUUUUGUCGUAGCAGUGCAGUGAUAUUUACUUUUCUCUGGACUGCUUUUGCUCAGACUGUUGAGAUCCAACUGGGCCUGGCAGUCGACAAUCCGAAAGCAACCAUGGCAGUGAAGCGUCGAUUAGCAUGCGAGGAGCUCAAGUACUGGCAACAGGCUUGUUUCUUUGCUCGAUCUCUCUCGCUCAACUCCAAAAACUAAACUUUUUCCUUCAUUGUCUUUUGCAGGCCUACGAGAACUUGCAAGCUGUAAACCUGGGAAAUGGAUGGGGUGACAAGCAUUUACUUUUCAUCAGAUGGAAACGAGCCGAGGCCAAGGUAAGCAAUCUAAGCAAAGUUGAUCCCAGCAAUCUAAGCAAGAGUUUUUGCCUUUCGUGGAUCAAAGGUCGCAGCUUAUUACUUCCACGGCCUGAUCUUAAACGAGAGCAGUGACAGCCAAGGCGCAGCAGCCUGCCUGCGGGCGUCGGCACACUUCUUCAAGGAAAGCGAGAGAAUCUGUGGCGACUUUUGUGCAACAGCGCCCAUGACAACGAAGUACGUAGCAAGCAAAACCGUUUGAUGGUUUGUGCAUGGUUGUGGUCCUACGUUUAUCUGCGUGCUUUGGCCUUUCUCUCUUGAUUCCUCUGCCAGUCCUCGCUAGACUUUCCAUUUUCUCAUUCCGCUUUUCUCUUUCCUUGAUCUAAUGGGAAUGAAACUAAACUCCAAGGGGCGCCGUGUGUGCAGCAGGACACUGGUUGGCAAAUCGCCAUCAUGGGGUCCAAUGAAGCACCUCUCGGAGAAAAUUUCCAAGGACGCAGUAACAUCAACACAACAGGACUUCUUGGAAGACAACAAGUAAGUUCUCGUGCUUUGGUGUAGGUGGUGUUUGGUUUGCUCCAAACACACAGGGCUUUAGAUUCUUGCUCUUGCUCGCCCGCCAAGUUUCUAAAUUCUCGGCUUCUUUCUACUGCCAUUUCCAGAGACAGGAUCGUGGAGCUACCAGAUUUCGCAUUGGCGCUGCAAGUAGACGCGUACCAAAUGCCGGAGGCCGACGAGGAAGGAGAAAUCGACGAGAAAAACUCCGCCGUGGAGCUUGGGAUUCAAAGCGGGACAGAAGAACAAAGUACACUAUACGCAUAGGGUCAAGUCAAGUAAGGGGGAAAUUUUUUGACUGCGCAGAGACGGCAUAGAAGUUCCACAAAAAGAGAAAAGGUGGUAGAAAUGCGUGGUAGCGACGCAAGCAAAUCGCUAGCGCUAGACGAUGGGCUAUCGACGUCCAUCGCGACUGUAUAUUAAAUGUGCGUGUGCUUGACAAAAUUUCAACGCAAACAAAGCGAGGGAUGGUUUGGUAAAAUUCUAGAAGGGAGUCGUGCCGGGUGGGAAUCGAGCCGGGGAUGUGCCGGCGUGGCCACGUUGUCUGCCAGCUGGAGCGCGUGGGCUCGAACUGGCACCAGUGCCGUCCAGGCUCAACUGGGACCGCCCUCCAGCUCAUGCCCAGCCAUGCCCAUCAUGGCCAUCAUGCCCAUAAAUACCAUCCCAUCCAAUGGAAAGAGAGAGAGAGUAGCGGCCAGCCCUAUCUUCCAUUCUUUGUUCUUGGAGCUUUUUGACAAGAGAGAGAGAGAGAGAGAAGAGGGAGAGCAGUCGAUCGAUCGGCAUUCUUGCGAGAUUUCUCUCGUCUCCUCCUCCAGCUCUCGAAAUGGCGAGCAGAUCCGCGUUCUUGAUCGUGGCGGCGGUGGUAGCCGUGGCCUCCAUGGCCGACAUUGCCAUGGCGCAGGCGCCCAGCCCCGCUCCAGAGGCCGGCGCCGGCACGGCAUUGGCGAUUCCAGUGCUGGCCGCGGGAUUCCUGGCAGCGCUCGCCAGUUUCUUCCUUUGAUUGGCGCGGAUCGAGCAUGAGCGGCAGCAGCAUUCUUUUUUCUCCCCUUUUUACUUCCUCUUUUCUUCUUCUUCCUCUCUCUCUCUCUGAUUUCGUAUAACGGAUGGGUCUGCUGGAGAAAUUUUGGGAUCUUUUGUAUCAUACUAUAGCACUACAGGGGCGGCUUCUUCCUCUUCCUCUCUUUUGGUUCUACACUAUCUCUCGUUGGUUCUUGUGGGUGGUGGAUUUGGAAUAGCGGUAGCAGAGUGAUGGAUGGGGAUGGGGGGAGCUGUGGGUUUUCUUCGGCCGACCUUGUUUCGGGGUGUUCUAUUUUGGAUUCUUUGUUUUGAAAUAAGGAACGAUGGUAUUGCUAGAGCACUUAGUACAGACACACCACGACUAGCCUAGAAAACACUCUGUACAGAUUUUCCAUGAAUAUACCAUCAUCUUUCAUUCUGCUUCCAAGAAAGCCUCUGGAUUUCGAUUUCUCCUCUUCGUCGUCCGCGGCUGAAACGAUCGAAAGGGAAGAAUUGCUGAUCUUGUUUGGCUCACUCGAGUCUCUUGGUUGCUCCUGGGGAUCUGGAGAGGACGACAAGGAAGAAAACAAAAGAGUCGCUGGCUGGUAUGUGGUAUAUGGUAUAUUGCUUGCUUGCUUGCUUGGGAGAAUGGAGGCGGAGGCCCACCAGUGUGAGAGACAGCUCGAAUGUGUGCUGUGAAAAGUUGUGGGUGUUGUCGUACGUGAGGGAUUUCUGGACAUGGCACAUGCAAGCGCUGGCUGGAAUUGGGUACGAACGCCCGGGCAUAUACCAGAAUGUUCCAUUUCGGUUCAUGCUUCUUGUUAGGCACGGGCAAGACUGCCAAAACUAGAUUAUACAUUAUUUGUUUUCGCUAAAUGAGAGGUGGGCUAAAAAUAAAAGUAAAACAUAUAUUAUGUUAUUAUUACCUUUAUAAUAUUAUUUUUAUUUAUUAUUAAUAAAUAUUCUACUUCCUUCCAACAGGCAUAAUCAUUUGAG